CCGAGUUUACAACUCCCAAACCCAAUGUGAACGUUACCAAACUGUUGCCCCGGCGGGGUCACGCCCCGGGUGCGUAAAAGCCCCGGAACCAGGCGCCCCGCCGGAGGAACCAACCAAACUCUUUCUGUAGUCCCCUCGCGGACGUAUUUCUUACAGCUCUGAGCAAAAAUUCAAAAUGAAUCA
rnacentral:misc_RNA from 1 species